AACGAACGCUGGCGGCAUGCCUAACACAUGCAAGUCGAACGAGACCUUCGGGUCUAGUGGCGCACGGGUGCGUAACGCGUGGGAACCUGCCCUUAGGUUCGGAAUAACUCCCCGAAAGGGGUGCUAAUACCGGAUAAUGUCUUCGGACCAAAGAUUUAUCGCCCUUGGAUGGGCCCGCGUUGGAUUAGCUAGUUGGUAGGGUAAAAGCCUACCAAGGCGACGAUCCAUAGCUGGUCUGAGAGGAUGAUCAGCCACACUGGGACUGGGACACGGCCCAGACUCCUACGGGAGGCAGCAGUGGGGGAUAUUGGACAAUGGGCGGAAGGCUGAUCCAGCACUGCCGCGUGAGUGAUGAAGGCCUUAGAGUUGUAAAGCUCUUUUACCCGGGAUGAUAAUGACAGUACCGGGAGAAUAAGCUCCGGCUAACUCCGUG
rnacentral:rRNA from 1 species